UACGUAGGGUGCAAGCGUUGUCCGGAAUCAUUGGGCGUAAAGCGCGCGUAGGUGGCCAUUUAAGUCCGCUGUGAAAGUCAAAGGCUCAACCUUUGAAAGCCGGUGGAUACUGGAUGGCUAGAGUACGGUAGGGGCAGAGGGAAUUUCCGGUGGAGCGGUGAAAUGCGUAGAGAUCGGAAAGAACACCAACGGCGAAAGCACUCUGCUGGGCCGACACUGACACUGAGAGACGAAAGCUAGGGGAGCGAAUGGG
rnacentral:rRNA from 1 species